AAACAAGAAACAAAAAAUUGUAUUUAAUUUCGACUUAAAUUUUUGGUGUAAGCCACCCUUGUUUA
rnacentral:tRNA from 1 species